rfam:Ovis aries breed Texel chromosome 7, whole genome shotgun sequence.
UCCCUGGUGGCUUAGAGGGUAAAGCAUCUGCCUGCAAUGCGGGAGACCCGGGUUAGAUCCAAGAUCAGGGUUCAAUCCCUGGGUUGGGAA